AAAAAGCACAUGCGGGCGUCCGCUGUGAAGCCUUCGGGCAAAGCAGCGGCCGUUUAAAAAUUAUGCAAUUUACGCAUCGGACAAACAACAAGCUAGUUGGUUGGACUGAUGCCAGUCACCGAGAGGUUCAGGCCUCGAGGUGGCUCUCCGAUUUGAAGAGGGUCCGACAGUUCGCUGCCGGGCCUUCUGAAGAUCUCGAUGGAGAGUUUGAUCCUGGCUCAGGACGAACGCUGGCGGCGUGCCUAACACAUGCAAGUCGAACGAGGUCCAUGCAGUGGCAACACUGCGGAAGACCUAGUGGCGAACGGGUGAGUAACACGUGAGGAACCUGCCCCGAAGACCGGGAUAACCCUCCGAAAGGAGAGCUAAUACCGGAUACCCCCACCUGGUCGCAUGGCCGGGUGAGGAAAUGGAUUCCGCUUCGGGAGGCCUCGCGGCCUAUCAGCUAGUUGGUGAGGUAACGGCUCACCAAGGCAUCGACGGGUAGCUGGUCUGAGAG
rnacentral:rRNA from 1 species